rnacentral:rRNA from 1 species
AACCUGCCCACUGAGGAUUUAAAUGGCCGCGGUAUUUUGACCGUGCAAAGGUAGCAUAAUAAUUAGUUUUUUAAUUGAAAGCUGGAAUGAAAGGUUGGAUGAGAAAAUAACUGUCUCUAUUUAAAUUAAUUAGAAUUUUAUUUUUAAGUAAAAAAGCUUAAAUAAAAAUAGAAGACGAGAAGACCCUAUAGAGUUUUAAUUUAAUUGGGGUGAUUGAAAAAUUUAAUAAACUUUUUUUAUAUAAAACCAUUGAUUUAUGAAUAAUUGAUCCUUUACUAAAGAUUAAAAGAAAAAAUUACCUUAGGGAUAACAGCGUAAUUUUUUUAGAGAGUUCAAAUCGAAAAAAAAGAUUGCGACCUCGAUGUUGGAUUAAAAUUAAGUCUUGGUGUAGAAGCUAAG